rnacentral:lncRNA from 1 species
GGGGUUCGAACCGCCGCCGCGAGCCGACCGUUGGGGUUCGAACCGCCGGGGUUCGAACCGCCGCCGCGAGCCGACCGUUGGGGUUCGAACCGCCGACCGUUGGGGUGCCGCCCCCCCAGCCGUCGCGCGAUCCCCGGCCGGGCCCCCCACGAGGCCCCUCCGCCCCCGCGACCCCCGCUGCGCCCUUCCUGCAGGAAAGGGGGUGCCCUGGUUCUCCCCCCGUCCUUAGAGCGUGAGGCGCCCAGGGCCGUGCAGCCCGAAACGCCCCCCGCGCACCGCAGCCGGCCGCUCCCCACCGACGGCGGCGGGGGUCUCUGCCCGCUGCGGGGACAGGCUCCGCAGCGGGUUCUCAGUCACGGCCGCCCUCACUCGUCUCUUAAACCAUCCGGGGAGCCACGCCAGACACCCCCGCUGGCACCCCUGCGCCGCAGACGCUUCUCGCCUAGGGCAGAGGGAGCGGAGAGGCGGGCGCGCUGCCCGCGGGGCUCCCCGACCUGGUCCCACAGCCCUGCCCGUCGGAGUCCCCUCGCGCCCGCCGCCCCCCGCCAGGCAGCGCUCACUGGCGCCGGGCUACAGCCACCAGUUGCGCUUCCCACCCUGGACGACUUCAGUACCUCAACCAGGAUGGGAGGAGAAGUCUUGCAGCUGCAGAAGCCCCUUUUCCGAAGCAACAAGUGCCUGCCCGCUCGCCUAGGAACGAGGAGAAGAAGGAGGAGCAGGAGCGGACGCCGCGCUCGCCGGUACCACCGCCGCUGCCGCUCUGCGCUCCGGGCGCCCCAGCUGCCACUCAGCGAGGCACACGCGAAACGCGAAAACAAGCCCGCCCCACGCGCGCACUUUCUUGAGCCAUCCGGGACGCCGUACGCUCGGCCGAUACCACCCCGCCGGGUUCCGCGGGCUAGAGGGGUGCGCGAGCCUCUCCCUCCCGGGCCGCCCGCAGAGUCCGCCCGUCCGGCGGCGCGGUGCCUCCCCCCAGCUCGCCGCAGUGGUAGCGCCCGGGCGGCCGUUACGGGAGUGCGGCGGAGCCGUUACGUUACUGUGUAA